CUCCUCAUGGUGGCCUGCUGCUGCUCCCAACGGCGUCCAACCGGAGGACCAAAAGCAGCCGUCUUCACCGGCCGCAGCUCCCUAUCUGCACCGCCGGCCUUCCCGUCCUCCAACCCCGACCAAAAUCAGCCCUCUUCCACGCCCGCCGCUUCGAUCUGCACCUCACAAAGCUGCUGCUAACGCCGAGGUGCUGCCAACACGAGCGCCUCUCCUGCUCAUCAAGGAAACAAUGGGCGCCUCCUACCCACUCACAAGGAUGAGGAUGCACACCUUCUGCUCUGCUCCCACUGCGGCCGGGGAUGAAUGCCGGAUGGAUGGCGGUACACCCCUGAUGGCGACCAUGGACGGACGGCGCCGCUAGUUUCACCAACCACGGCGCAGCAAGAGAAUUUCUUGUCCUCAACAUGGAGCGUGCCUUAUACCUGGAUAGUGGGAAGCAGCAGAUUCAGGACGACUUCCUCCACUCAUACAUAAUGGACAAUUACGACUGCAACCGAUAGGUGGCAUUGCUGGCGAGGAUGGGCGGCGGCGGGUUCAGGACGGUGACUUCUCGUAGCAAGGUGCAUCCUGCUGCACUCUCAGAUUUUGAUUUUUUGGCUUCCGGCUGCAGAGAAAGGGAGCUUGGCCUCCCAGUCUGUGCUGCUGACGCGGGAGCAAGGAUGGGCUGCAGCUGGUUGACUAUUGGGUGCGACCUACCUGGGACAUUCAGGAGAAUCUGGAAGAAGCUGUUGAGCACCUCACCAUGGAAAUCAUGCUGAAUCUGAGCUCAGCAAUCGUCUGCUCUUGCUGUUAUCUUGGUUCCUUUGACAACGGUGUGGCGGGACAGAUGGACUGCAACCCUGGUACCUCAAGUUGCAGAUUUCCUCAGGCGGCAUUGGUGGCGAGGAUGGGCGGCGGCGAGUUCAGGAGGGCGACUUACUCGCAGAACAACCACUUCUCGUAGCAAGGGAGCUUGGCUUCCCAGUCUGUGCCGCUGACGUGGGAGCAAGGAUGGGCUGCAGCUGGUUAACUAUUGGGUGCGACCUACCUGGGACAAUCAGGAGAAUCUGGAAGCAGCUAUUGAGCACUUCACCAUGGAAAUCCUGUUGAAUCUGAGCUCAUCAAUCAUUUGUUCUUGCUGUUGUGUUUUUGCGUCGACAACGGUAUGGUGGGACAGAUAGACUGCCACGCUGGCGCCUCGAGUGGCAGGUUUUCUCAGGUGAUUCCUCAGGCUCCCCCUUGCAGUGUGUCGUGGCUUGUUGUUUCAACCACCGAGUGAGUGCCCUAGGCCCUGCCAUUGAGCCCUUGCUCUUUUUGGAAUUUCUUGUACUGGUGAAUGUGCUGUUGGUGGCUAACUUGAUCCGGCACUCGUUGUAUUUGCUAGCUCUGUUUCUGAUUACUGGAAUGGGAGUGUUGCUCAGGUGUAUACUGGCAUGUUAAUUCCGAUGGAUCUUGUCUUUAGAUUAUCAUAGAAUACAUAAAUUUUUUGAUGAUAUCUUUUUCAUUUGUUCCUUUUAGUAAUACUCCUGGCACAUUCCUUAUUCUUGAUCAGUCGUGCUUGCUUUGGAUUGCUUGGCAUGGUAAUUCCAUCUUGUUCUUGAUUGUCCUUUUACAAAUCCUUGCUGACCAAAGGGUACCUCUUAAUUGAUUUGGAUUGCUGGUUAUGCUAUUUUGCUUAUUGGACAUAAUCUGUUGCUUGUAACUGUCUUAACUGACUGCAAUUUUCAGUUCAUUAUGUGUUGUUCGUGUUUGAUGGAUACAUAUCCUUGGAAUAUUUAUUAGAAACUACUACCGCCGGUCCAAAAGGCUAAUUUAGCAUACUGAAACUUGUCGUAUUUUGGGACAGAGGAAGUAGCAUAUAUCUUCCUUGCUUUGAACUCACCUGUACUUGAGAUAAAUUCCUUUUACUGUUGAUUUUUGAUGUUUCUCAAUUGCAAGAUUUAGAAGGCUGUGAGCAUAGAAGGCUGCUAUCUAGUGCAUGACUGGAGGGAAGAAGUGAAAGCUGCUCUUGUUUGCGAAACCAGAAGUUGUAUUGGUUGUCAGACUGUUUAUUGUAACUCCAAAUCUGGAAUGUUUCAGACCGGUCAUUCUUAUAAUUCUCAAGUCUAGAAGUUGUAAUGGUGUAGUUGUAACGUCUGUUUGGUUAAACUUGUGAUGAUGUUGGGUUGUGCUGUUGCAUUUUCAUUUGUUACUGUUCGAUUUUUGAUUUGAUUGUCCAAAAUAUAGUGGAAGGU